rnacentral:misc_RNA from 1 species
AACCUAGCACACCUGCGGUGUGUACCUGCGGAAGGAUCAUUACCUAGAGUUGUGGGCUUUGCCUGCUAUCUCUUACCCAUGUCUUUUGAGUACCUUACGUUUCCUCGGUGGGCUCGCCCACCGAUUGGACAAAUUUAAACCCUUUGCAGUUGAAAUCAGCGUCUGAAAAAACUUAAUAGUUACAACUUUUAACAAUGGAUCU